AGUGAACGCUGGCGGUAGGCCUAACACAUGCAAGUCGAACGGAAGCACAGUAAGAGCUUGCUCUUACGGGUGGCGAGUGGCGGAUGGGUGAGGAAUACAUCGGAAUCUACUUUUUCGUGGGGGAUAACGUAGGGAAACUUACGCUACUACAGCAUACGAUCUACGGGUGAAAGCAGGGGAUCUUCGGACCUUGCGCGAUUGAAUGAGCCGAUGUCGGAUUAGCUAGGUGGCGGGGUAAAGGCCCAACAAGGCGACGAACCGUAGCUGGUCUGAGAGGAUGAUCAGCCACACUUGAACUGGGACACGGUCCAGACUCCUACGGGAGGGAGGAGGGAGGAAAUUUGGACAAUGGGGGGAAACCUGGUCCAGCCAUACCGGGUGGGGGAAGAAAGCCUUCGGGUUGUAAAGCCCUUGUGAUGGGAAAGAAAAGCAGCAGGAUGAAACCCCGCUGUUCUGGCGGUACCCAAAGAAGAAAGACCGGGUAACUUCGUU
rnacentral:rRNA from 1 species